UACGUAGGGUGCGAGCGUUGUCCGGAAUUAUUGGGCGUAAAGAGCUCGUAGGCGGUGUGUCACGUCGGCCGUGAAAACCUGCAGCUUAACUGUGGGCGUGCGGUCGAUACGGGCAUCACUGGAGUUCGGCAGGGGAGACUGGAAUUCCUGGUGUAGCGGUGAAAUGCGCAGAUAUCAGGAGGAACACCGGUGGCGAAGGCGGGUCUCUGGGCCGAAACUGACGCUGGAGGAGCGAAAGCGUGGGGAGCAAACAGG
rnacentral:rRNA from 1 species